GUGGGGAAUAUUGGACAAUGGGCGAAAGCCUGAUCCAGCAAUGCCGCGUGGGUGAAGAAGGUCUUCGGAUUGUAAAGCCCUUUCGGCGGGGACGAUGAUGACGGUACCCGCAGAAGAAGCCCCGGCUAACUUCGUGCCAGCAGCCGCGGUAAUACGAAGGGGGCAAGCGUUGCUCGGAAUGACUGGGCGUAAAGGGCGCGUAGGCGGCUCAUUUUGUCAGGCGUGAAAGUCCUGGGCUCAACCUGGGGACGGCGCUUGGGACGGAUGGGCUAGAGUGGGGAAGAGGGUCGUGGAAUUCCCAGUGUAGAGGUGAAAUUCGUAGAUAUUGGGAAGAACACCGGUGGCGAAGGCGGCGACCUGGUCCUUGACUGACGCUGAGGCGCGAGAGCGUGGGGAGCAAACAGG
rnacentral:rRNA from 1 species